rnacentral:rRNA from 1 species
UACGGAGGGUGCAAGCGUUAUCCGGAUUCACUGGGUUUAAAGGGUGCGUAGGUGGGCAAGUAAGUCAGCGGUGAAAUCUCCGGGCUCAACCCGGAAACUGCCAUUGAUACUAUUGGUCUUGAAUGUUGUUGAGGUGGGCGGAACGGGUCAUGUAGCGGUGAAAUGCACAGAUAUGACCCGGAACACCGAUUGCGUAGGCAGCCCACUAAGCAACGAUUGACGCUGAGGCACGAAAGCGUGGGGAUCAAACAGG